GAGUAUAACACAACAUGCGACAUUGUGGAUGGAAUGUUUUUUAUAUCACAUCAAUUAAUAUGUUGUGUAUUGCCCAAUACUUAUCCUUUCUUUAAAAAUGAAUGCAAAUUUGAUCAGAUAAGACAUAUGUAUUAUCUUCCUAUCGACUAGAGGUUACUCUGUUCACAAUUUGUAUACACCCGAAUGAAUGGUUAUACCCGGUGAAAUUUCGCAUGACCCAAACGUUUGAUCAACAUUGAUUGUCAGCUGUUUACAAGUAUGGGAAACGUGCAGGUUUUAGACGAAUUGUGCAUUUGGUUUUAGGAAUUUCUUUUACCGCUUUUGGUCAUUUACCAUCUUAACUUGUUUUGUUAUAUAUAGCACUGGAUAACACAUGCAAGUUGGAUAAAAACGAUAUUGAAGAGGAUCCAACCAGCUGUUCUCAAGAAAAUGCUGUUUUAGUUUUUCUUUUGUCUAUUUUUGUAAAUUUAAAUAAAAAUUAUGUUGAUUUUA